rnacentral:hammerhead_ribozyme from 1 species
GCACCACUGACGAGUCCCAAACAGGACGAAACAACUGUCCCGUGC